UACGGAGGGUGCAAGCGUUAUCCGGAUUCACUGGGUUUUAAGGGUGCGUAGGUGGAUUAGUAAGUCAGUGGUGAAAUCUCCGGGCUUAACCCGGAAACUGCCAUUGAUACUAUUAGUCUUGAAUACCGUGGAGGUCAGCGGAAUAUGUCAUGUAGCGGUGAAAUGCUUAGAUAUGACAUAGAACACCAAUUGCGAAGGCAGCUGGCUACACGAGCAUUGACACUCAGGCACGAAAGCGUGGGGAUCAAACAGG
rnacentral:rRNA from 1 species